rnacentral:rRNA from 1 species
CCUACGGGGGGCAGCAGUGAGGAAUAUUGGUCAAUGGUCGGGAGACUGAACCAGCCAAGCCGCGUGAGGGAUGAAGGUACAGAGUAUCGUAAACCUCUUUUGUCAGGGAACAAAGGCGGGGACGCGUCCCCGGAUGAGUGUACCUGAAGAAAAAGCAUCGGCUAACUCCGUGCCAGCAGCCGCGGUAAUACGGAGGAUGCGAGCGUUAUCCGGAUUUAUUGGGUUUAAAGGGUGCGUAGGCGGACGCUUAAGUCAGCGGUAAAAUUGCGGGGCUCAACCUCGUCGAGCCGUUGAAACUGGGUGCCUUGAGUGGACGAGAGGUACGCGGAAUGCGUGGUGUAGCGGUGAAAUGCAUAGAUAUCACGAAGAACUCCGAUUGCGAAGGCAGCGUACCGGGGCCCAACUGACGCUGAGGCACGAAGGCGUGGGGAGCGAACAGGAUUAGAUACCCUUGUAGUC